rnacentral:rRNA from 1 species
AUACGUAGGUGGCGAGCGUUGUCCGGAAUUACUGGGUGUAAAGGGCGUGUAGGCGGGGAUGCAAGUCAGAUGUGAAAUUCCGGGGCUCAACCCCGGCACUGCAUCUGAAACUGUGUCUCUUGAGUGCUGGAGAGGAAAGUGGAAUUCCUAGUGUAGCGGUGAAAUGCGUAGAGAUUAGGAGGAACACCAGUGGCGAAGGCGACUUUCUGGACAGUAACUGACGCUGAGGCGCGAGAGCGUGGGGAGCAAACAGGAUUAGAUACCCUGGUAGUCCACGCCGUAAACGAUGGAUACUAGGUGUAGGAGGUAUCGACCCCUUCUGUGCCGGAGUUAAUACAAUAAGUAUCCCACCUGGGGAGUACGGCCGCAAGGCUGAA